GCUCUGGCCCAGGACAUCUCAGCCGACCAGGCGCCCCGCAUCCCGCUCCCACCCCCUUCCCCGUCAUUAAACUUACACCUCGACGCCCCGAGGAGCAAGCCAAGCAGAUAAUAACAGUCCCCUUUUAUUGAGAGCAUCCCAAGUGCCAGACACUGGUGCUCAGCGAUUUACACACUCCUUGAAGUCUCACCACCGUCUGUCUGGGAGGUGUUACCAUCUCCAUUUGAAUUAAGGGAAUUUAGGUUUAUUCUUUAAUGUUCCCCAGGUGGCAAAGGUAGGCCUUGGCCCUCCUGGGACGCGACCUUGCGACCCGGCAAUUCCACAGCCCAUAUGUAGAAGAACGAGACAAUAGUGCCUCCCAGAGGCCAAGGAUUUACCCGGAGCCCCGGCAUUAAGGUGUGCGGACCAGGUACUACCUACAGGAGUUUGUUUAUUCCUCCACCUACUCUGGGAAGUGUUUCCGUUUUCCAGAGCAGAAAAACAAACCGAGGAUAGCGAAAUUCCCAGAGAGGAGGCAAGGCCAGGCUGAAUCACGCAGCUGGGGAGCUCAGAGCCCAGCAAGCCAUAUUGGCUUCACAGGUGUCCAACUGAUUCAUCAACUCCUCAGGCAAAGCAAGCAGAUGGGAUAAAGCAAGAAAAAACCACCACACCCAGGAGCUGCCAACUGUUCCGUUUUACAACGUUCUUUUCGGUUGUCCUAUAUUCACAUUGAAGAGAAUGGGAUAGGAAAGAGGACUAUUCAGCAUUAGUCUUCCUUUUCCAGGUAGAGGGAAGUAUGAAGGAAGAACUCUUGAAACAAAUGGAAAAGCGUGGCACAGAAUCCUGCAGGUUACUGAACACUCCAAAGGAGCCAAAGGGCUUCCGAGGGGGUCCAGACAGACAGGGCCUCCAGGUCAGUGCUGCUGGGUUCAAGCCUUCGCUCCACCGACUCUGGGGCCAGGCACGCAACCUCUCUGGAACUCGAUUUCUUUGUACAUCACCUGUGGAUGACAACAGCACUGAUCUUGGAUGAUGCUGUGAGGAUAACAUGCUACCCUUGACAUCUGACCUGGAGAAACCCCUUCCGGAAGUGCCGGCAAACCUAGUCCUCUUGGUGAGGAUUCUGGUCCUUAUCUUGGGCGUUGAGUAGCCACUCGAGGUUUUCAAGCUAGUCGUGACAGGGCCUGGUAGGACAUCAGGGCAGGAGGAGUGGGAUGCAGACAAAGGAAUAACUGAGCUGGUUGCCCUGGUGCCAUUUUGGAUAAUAUGGGCGACAACCCUAAACUUCUCAGUGUUGAGGCAGGUACCCGUGACUGAGCAAGACUUGCCAACCUGAGCCAUUUUGCAGUCACCUAGAGUAGAAGUUUUAAUAAUCUAUCUAGCUCUGGUACUCCUCAGUGUCCCUCCUCCGCCCUCACGAUGCCCACCCAUGGUAAGGGGCACUUCAAAGCCCCAAAUAAACAUUGCGGGGAUUUCAAGAAUCCCAUAGUCACACCUUUCCUCCGCCUCCCAUCCUUCCUCCCUGCCCUUUUAACAUCCACCUUGCUGUUUUCCCUGCUCUUUUUUUUUUUUUUUUAAACUGGAGUAUAAUUGCCUUAGGAUGUUAUUUUUGUUUUUGCUGUCCAAGAAGUGAAAAUGUAUUCAAUGUCCCCUUCCUCUUGAACCCCUCUUGGCCCCCCUCCGCCAUCCCACCCCUCGGUCAUCACAGACACUGAGCUGAGCUCCCUGUGCUAUCCAGCAGCUUCCCCCUUGACAAGGUGUCUGAUGACAGUCUGAAGGAUUCUGGAGUGGAAGGGAAUGGGUGCCAGGGGAAAACAAACAAAAUGCCUGCCUCAGGAAGCUCAAGGUCCUGGGCUUUUACAACUUUGAACAACGAGCAGCAGCUCCUUCCCCAAAGACUUCCACUCUGUCUCGGCUUUAAAAGUCAGCCUCAUGAAAGCGUUUCCAACGUGCAUUUAAAAUCAUCCAUCCAAAAGAUAACUAAAUCAUGGCCAUUCAUUCCUCUCGACCCAUCACACUGCAAUGAAAACAUGUAUUUAACUGAGAAAACACUGAGCCUUCCCCCUCCCCGGCCUCUGUCUUUUUUUCUUCUCCCUUUCUUUGAGGGCUCAAAAUGUUAUGAUUCAUCUCAGCACUGCCUAAUGCAGCAGUGAAUUACAGGCCCCAGAGACUUCCAAACCCGGAGGGGUCCAGGCCGAGAACGUCCCUCAGUUCAUCCCGGCCAUUCUCUCUCCAGCCAACUGUGUUUGUUCCCUGACUCCUUUUGAUCAUUCCUUAUAACAGUAGCCAAGCAGAGGAAAUGAAGCUUUUGUAUUUAAACUAAUCCAUGACCCUGGAUAAUUUGUAAGAGACAUCUAUGAGGGGUUAAAAAUGAGCCUCUGACUGCUUGAUGUGGAGACGUCCCAGACACACCACGGCUCCCGUGGUGGGAUCAUAGAAUUGCAGGGCGAAUGAAAGGAUAUCAGAGUGUGCAGUGUCCUUUGGGAAUAUCUGUCUAGUCCAACUCUCUCAGUUUGAAACAUGGAGAAACAGAGGCCCAGAGAGGGAAGGAGACCUGCCCUGACUAGCAAUUUUCUGUGGGAUUUCUGACUCUGAAGAAGACUAGACCGUCAAGAGCAGUGUGGUUCUCCAGCUAUCAGAUGCUAACCUGUCCCCCUGCUGUCCAGGGGCUACUGUCAGAUAAGC
ensembl:lncRNA